GAAGAGACACCAAGCUCUGGCCACCGUCCACACACAGAGGGUGGCCACACAGAGAGGCGGAGCGAGGUGUGAACAGAGGGGAGAAUCGGGCUCCAGAGUCUGGAUGGGCACCUAUGAACGACGGGCUGAGGUUCGCCAGAAGGAAGAGGGCAGAGGCAUUGCAUCAUGAACUUGACCCGCUCGGCGUCCACUGGUUCCCAGGGAUUCAGCAUCUGAAUCUGAAGCCUGCGGGAGAGCCCCUCCCAGCCAACACCAUGAAAACAUGACCAAGGAAGUGGCGCCCUGACCUUCAGGCGGACCCAGCUCAAGACGGUGGCUGGGGCUGCCACCACCUGAGCUGUGCCAACCACAGAGCCACCUGGGAACCAAAGAGCUACUGGCUACUUUCGGAAGACGGUAUUUGGUGAUCAUCCUUCUUCAACAGACACAUCACCAUCAUGAGAGCCUUACCUUCUACUGAAUCCCCAGCACUCAGAACAGUGUCUAGCAACAGCAGGUACUCAAUAAACAUUUGAUGAAUUAACAAAAAUAAAUGAAUUCCCUCUGCACACGAUCAAACAAGUGCUAUCUGUGCAAACCCACGUGAAUUAGGUGAAGUCCAACUCUACAGCAGCUGCUAGUUCUUAAGAGAGGGAGACCAGUAAAGAAUCACCCAUAGGGCUGGGAGUGUGGCUCAGCGGUAGAGCGCUCGCCUAGCACGGGCAGAACCCGGGUUCGAUUCUCAGCACUACAUAAAAAUAAAGGCAUUGUGUUUAAAAAAAAAAAAAAAGAAAAGAAUCACCCAUAAAGCUGGGCACAGUGACACACACAUGUAAUCCUAGCA